rnacentral:rRNA from 1 species
GAUGAACGCUAGCGGCAGGCCUAACACAUGCAAGUCGAGGGAGAAGCCCUUUCGGGGGCAGAAACCGGCGCACGGGUGCGUAACGCGUAUGCAACCUACCUUUCACAGGGGGAUAGCCCGAAGAAAUUUGGAUUAAUACCCCAUAAUAUUAUUGGAUGGCAUCAUUUGAUAAUUAAAGCUACGACGGUGAAAGAUGGGCAUGCGUCCUAUUAGCUAGUUGGAGUGGUAACGGCACCCCAAGGCUACGAUAGGUAGGGGUCCUGAGAGGGAGAUCCCCCACACUGGUACUGAGACAGGGACCAGACUCCUACGGGAGGCAGCAGUGAGGAAUAUUGGUCAAUGGUCGGAAGACUGAACCAGCCAUGCCGCGUGCAGGAAGAAUGCCUUAUGGGUUGUAAACUGCUUUUAUAUGGGAAGAAUAAGGCGUACGUGUACGUUGAUGACGGUACCCAUAUGAAUAAGC